AGCGAACGCUGGCGGCGUGCCUAACACAUGCAAGUCGAGCGCGGGCAUUUCGGGGGUAACCCCGGGAUGUGCUGAGCGGCGGACGAGUGAGUAAUACGUGGACAACCUGCCUUAAAGCUUGGGAUAACUCCGGGAAACUGGAGCUAAUACCGGAUAAGACCACGGUGUCUAUGGAUGCUGAGUAAAAGGCGGCCAGGAAACUGGCUGUUGCUUAAAGAUGGGUCCACGUCCCAUCAGGUAGUUGGUGAGGUAAAGGCUCACCAAGCCAAAGACGGGUAGCUGGCCUUAGCGGGUGGUCAGCCAC
rnacentral:rRNA from 1 species